UACGAAGGGGGCUAGCGUUGCUCGGAAUCACUGGGCGUAAAGCGCACGUAGGCGGCUUUCUAAGUCAGGGGUGAAAUCCUGGAGCUCAACUCCAGAACUGCCUUUGAUACUGGGAAGCUCGAGUCCGGAAGAGGUAAGUGGAACUCCGAGUGUAGAGGUGAAAUUCGUAGAUAUUCGCAAGAACACCAGUGGCGAAGGCGGCUCACUGGCCCGGUACUGACGCUGAGACACGAAAGCGUGGGGAGCAAACAGG
rnacentral:rRNA from 1 species